GUGGGGAAUAUUGGACAAUGGGCGCAAGCCUGAUCCAGCCAUGCCGCGUGAGUGAUGAAGGCCCUAGGGUUGUAAAGCUCUUUCACCGGUGAAGAUAAUGACGGUAACCGGAGAAGAAGCCCCGGCUAACUUCGUGCCAGCAGCCGCGGUAAUACGAAGGGGGCUAGCGUUGUUCGGAAUUACUGGGCGUAAAGCGCACGUAGGCGGGUAUUUAAGUCAGGGGUGAAAUCCCGGAGCUCAACUCCGGAACUGCCUUUGAUACUGGGUACCUAGAGUAUGGAAGAGGUAAGUGGAAUUCCGAGUGUAGAGGUGAAAUUCGUAGAUAUUCGGAGGAACACCAGUGGCGAAGGCGGCCAACUGGUCCAUUACUGACGCUGAGGUGCGAAAGCGUGGGGAGCAAACAGGAUUAGAAACCCGUGUAGUCC
rnacentral:rRNA from 1 species